UACGUAGGGUGCAAACGUUGUUCGGAAUCACUGGGCAUAAAGAGCGCGUAGGCGGUCUGAUAAGUCCUGUGUGAAAGCCCCCGGCUCAACCGGGGAAUUGCACAGGAUACUGUCGGGCUAGAGUACAGGAGGGGAGAGCGGAAUUCCUGGUGGAGCGGUGAAAUGCGUAGAUAUCAAGAGGAACACCUGAGGUGAAGACGGGUUGCUGGGCUGACACUGACGCUGAGGCGCGAAAGCUAGGGGAGCAAACGGG
rnacentral:rRNA from 1 species